rnacentral:lncRNA from 1 species
GCGCGAUGAUUUUCGGUGAUUAUCCGGCGGAGUACAACCCGAACAUCCACGGACUUUACGAUCCUGUCCGUUACUACGGCAA